GGGGAUAUAGCUCAGUGGCACAGCACCUGCCUGACAAGCACAAUGUCCUGAGUUCAAUUCCUGGUACCUCCC
rnacentral:tRNA from 1 species